rnacentral:tRNA from 1 species
GCACCCGUAGCUCAGUUGGAUAGAGCGUAUGACUCCGACUCAUAAGGCCCCGCGUUCGAGUCGCGGCGGGUGCGCCA